AGAUUACAUGAUACACAACAACUUACUAAUAUGUUACUCAACACAGUCCUCUAAAGGGGCAUACGAGAUGGUGCAGAUGGAAUUCUCUACAAUGAAUGGUAACAGCACAUACCAGCUACAGACAGGGGACAAGUAAGCAUAUUGUCUGGUAUGAGUGUGUAUGUGAACGCUUUGUGUACCAGGUUUGAAGAUUCGACUGAUAUUAGCAGUCUGUUGGACAGAGUGCACGCAGAUGUGGAGCGUUUGCUUGAAAAACAAAGGCCUAUAAAGCUUCAAUGUGGUACUGACAAAAGAUACCUAUAUGAUGCUACAAUAGGUGAUACAACAACUUUCUUACAAACCCUGAAGGAAGCUACGAAAAGCUAUAAGGAACAUUGUAUUGUAUAUUAAAAUAACACUAUAAGCGAACAUUUGAAUUGCUAUACCGAGGAGUAUUUGGAUUAUCCAGGUAGAUCAGGCUGUCAAAAAUUGCUUAGCAAAAAUAGACUUUGUUUAAUGCAUAAUAAAGUUACCCUGAAAGGGUUGCCUGCAGCCGCUUAUCUGUUGACAGUCAAGUGACGUAUGAACGACGUAAGGCUAUUUUUUUUAAAGUAUAUCGGUAAUGGCGUCUAAUAAAAUUAGGUAUGAACAUUAGCUCGAAAUUAAUGUAUAUCGAUAAAGACUAACCCCUAUAAUCAUAAACUUUCUUAUCUAAGGACGGAGUAUUGUUGUGAUAACAAGUUUGUUUCUCAGACAGCUUGCUGUUUGUUCAGCUUUAUUUAUCUGACAGCCAACUAGAUUAAAUCACAAUCACAACCGCUUUACGUCUACGUACUGCGAAGGCUGGCAUGCCGUCAGCACUGAGAAACAGACUUAUCACAGCAAUGCUCCUUAGAUAAAUAAUGUCUAUGAAUUAGGGGGUAAAUGUAUGAGUUACAAAGUAGGUAAUGUAUUUCGAGUGUCUUCAUGUAUAUUCAUUUAGGGGUUGACUGCACCAAGGACAGUGUUCAAGACUAAGUAUGGUCUUAUCAAAAAAAGUAUUAUUAUUAGAGAACUUUAAUCAGUGAUUAAAUAAAUCAAAAUUUUGUAUUUUCCUCUUCAUUGGCUUAAUGGAAUGAAAGUACUGAUUGUUAUUGAUGAUUGUGAAAUUGAACAGGGUAAUAAAAUCAGUAUAUGCGCUAAUAUUGUAAUAGAACAAUGUUUGUAAGAAAAGUCAAAUGAUUAUGGUGCUAAUAAAUUGAUUUUUAUUUUUUUAUGUACUUAUAAA